AAUGAACGUUGGCGGCGUGGAUUAGGCAUGCAAGUCGUACGGUGGUUUCCUUUCGGGGAGGCCAUAGUGGCGAAAGGGAGAGUAACGCGUGGUUACAUGCCCUCGAGACCGGGAUAGCGGCGGGAAACUGCCGGUAAUACCGGAUAAUAUCUUUGGAUCAAAGGUGUGAUUCCGCUCGAGGAUUGGACCGCGUUCUAUUAGCCUGUUGGCGGGGUAAUGGCCCACCAAGGCGACGAUGGAUACCGGGUGUGAGAGCAUGGCCCGGGUCACUGGGACUGAGACACUGCCCAGACACCUACGGGUGGCUGCAGUCGAGAAUCUUCGGCAAUGGGGGCAACCCUGACCGAGCGACGCCGCGUGCGGGACGAAGGCCUUCGGGUUGUAAACCGCUGUCAGUUGGGAGGAAAUGCUGGGGGGUUCUCCCCUCAGUUUGACCGAUCUUCAGAGGAAGGACGGGCUAAGUUCGUGCCAGCCGCCGCUGUAA
rnacentral:rRNA from 1 species